rnacentral:rRNA from 1 species
GAUGAACGCUGGCGGUGUGCCUAAUACAUGCAAGUCGAGCGAACAGAUGAUGAGCUUUCUCCUCUAACGUUGGCGGCGGACGGGUGAGUAACACGUGGAUAACCUACCUAUAAGUCUUGGAUAACUUCGUGAAACCGGUUCUAAUACCGCAUAAUAUAUUGAACCGCAUGGUUCAAUAGUUCAUGACGGUUUUGCCGUCUCUUAUAGAUGGAUUCGCGCCGGAUUAGCUAGUUGGUAAGGUAACGGCCUACCAAGGCAACGAUGCGUAGCCGACCUGAGAGGAUGAUCGGCCACACUGGAACUGAGACACGGUCCAGACUCCUACGGGAGGCAGCAGUAGGGAAUAUUGGACAAUGGGCGCAAGCCUGACGCAGCAAUGCCGCGUGAGUGAUGAAGGCCUUCGGGUUGUAAAGCCCUGUUAUUAGGAAAGAAAAGAUGUAUAAGUAAACAUCGCUGUUCUGACGGUACCCAAAGAAAAAGCACCGGCUAACUACGUG